rnacentral:sRNA from 1 species
AUGCCUCAUCUGUGUUGUGUAGUUUCAACUUUCAGCAGGAGUGAAGUUGAUGUUAACAGAAAAAGCAGCAGCAUUAAUGAAAUAGAUGUUCAGUGUAUGUGCUCACAUUAAAGAUUUUGAAGCCAUGGGGCUGUUGUUUUGAUAUGAAACUUUGAGGCAAUGAAGACUAAUGGCUAUUGUUAUAACAUUUGUUUCUCUUAAUUGACAACAAUGUCAGUAAAAUAUGCAUGGAUUGUGUUGCUCUAUGAUUUUUGAAAAGAUGGAUUGCGCAAGUGAUCUUGGCCAAAAAAGAAAAAAAAGCAUUAACCAGAUAUAAGACACGUGGCAUUAAAAAAAAAUCCAAUGGUCUUAAAACAAUCAUCUGAACCACACAAAAUUAUUUAAAUUCCAUGUCUUACAUUUGACUAAAAACCUGAAGGAUUUUAAUUGUGGUGGAUGUUAUCUUAGAGCACCUAGCAUUGGUAUUGGAGGUGCUAAAAAUAGCAAUAUAGCUUUUUAGCACCACUAAUACCAAAAUGUGGCUACAUUGGUGGAGCCAAAGUCAAAAUGUGCAUGGAAGCUCAUUUGUUAAAAAAAAAAAAAUUAUUAUUAUUAUUAAAUUGUUAUAUUCACAUUGCUUUUUAAUGAAUUUUUUUUAUAUUUUUUUAAUCAAAUGUGUAUUGUAAAGUGAAAAGGUAAAAUAUAUAAAAUAGCAUUUUGUAGAGCCAUAUUGCUAAAUUUAUGAAAACUAUUAACGAGGGCAUUCUUUUGGGCCACAUUAUAUUCGACCUCCUAGUCCAAGAGUUUUGAGUGAAUGAGAUUACAUGGCAUUGGACCUAUACGUCCAAUGAAUUUAUAGAUGACGCUACAUGUCAUUAAGCCUUGAAACCCAAUGUAUUUACAUAUGAGGCAAGGGCUAUUAGGCCAUAAAGUCAAAUGGAUUGGAGCAAGGCUUACGAGUUUGACCCAUCCAAUAAAUGAUGUGGGCUUCUAAGGUUACAAAUGCUGGAUUGAGCUUUAAAAAAAAAAUGUUGGAUUGAGGUCGGGCGCAUGAUGUGCAAUUGCUCUCAAUGGAUUGAGAUAGAAAGUUUCAAACCAUUAAGGUUGCAUUUGAUUCAAUGUAAAUCGAAUUUCGAGUGUAAAAUGAAUGCAGGAGAAAGUGAAUUCCCGUAAGAAAAUAUAAAAUCUGAAGGAGAAAGUGAAUUCCUGUAAGAAAAAUAAAAUCUUGGUGUUUGGUUCUACAAUGGAAAAUAAUCCGGAAAACGAUUUUCAGCGUUUGGUAACAUUCUAAAAAUGCUAUUUUCCUACAAAAUUUUCACAUUUUCUCAGCAUCCAAACAAAUUUUAUUACAGAAAAUUUCAAAAUAUACACUAAACACAACCAAAAAUCAAAAUAAAAACAUUGAGGGAGAGGAAGAAAGAGUGAGAUCGGAGGGAGAAAGAGUGACAGAGUGAGGGACAAAGAGAUAGAUUGGGAAAGAGAGAGAUCAUAGUGGAUGGAGGACGACAGCCAGAUCAGGUGGGUUUGGGGGGGGGGGGGGGGGGGGGGGGGGGGGGGGGGGGGGGGGGGGGAAGUGGAGUGGGCUGGUGGUUGGUGGUGGGCAGAUCGAUGACGUUGUGCAAGAGGGAGAACAAGAUUGGUGUGUCGAGAAAGAGCUCGGUCUUGGGUGGGUCGAGAACGAGAUCGGUUUUGGGUGGAUCGGUCUUGGGUGGUGAUGAUCUAGAUGGCGGCGCCGAUGAUCUUCUAGCGGCGACUAUGGGUGUGAUAUCACCGGUGCUAGGGUACGACGAGACUGGUGCGAUCUGGGGUUGGGGCCGGUGCUGGGGUGCGACAAGACCGGUGUUUGGUGCGAUCUCUUCUUGUUGUUUCUCUCUCUCUUUCUUCUAUUUUCCUGGGGUGGAAACCAUUUGAAGGUAAAAUAAAACCUAAAAUGGUUUUACAGGUGAGGCAGGGUAUUUUACAGUCAAUGCGGAAAAUGAAUUCCAUUUGACCCAAUUUUCUGUAGCUACCAAACACAAAGGCUGGUGUAAAAUGAUUUACUGAAAUCAUUUGAAGGCAAAAGAAACGCAGCCUAAGUGAAAAAGGUUUAAAAAGUUAGAAAAGUGAAAAGUUCAAAAGUAAAGAAGUAAAAAAAAUUUGUGAGAAGAAUAGGGGUAAUUGGCUAAUUGCUCCCAUGCAAUACCCAGGUCCUAAUUCAUAAAUACUUCUACUUAUUGGAUGUUCUUGCCUUAAGGGGCACCUCCCCCUAACCCAUUGAGUUACAUCUGUUCUAUCUCAAGCAGCUUAUACUUCAUAUAGUUUGAAGAAGCAAUGUUACAUAAGUGACCAUAAAAACUUCACCCCAGUCUUGAAAGAAACUUCAAGGGGUGGUUGAUAUUGGGGUAAAUGUAACAUUUCUAUCUUCUCAGAUGUAUGUGUGCUUUAAGAUAAGACAAUUAUGGUUGUCUCAACUAUCUGUUUGAGAAUCCAUUUUUAGUAGCUUAUCUAUAUUACCAUUUAAGGGGCUUCCCCUAUUUGGGACAGAUUUUUCGUUGGUUCAAAAAUACCGCUACAUUACUAAGUUUAAGCCAUUGUUUGGGAUGAGGGAAUGAAAUUGAAUGGAAAGGAAUGAAAAGAAUAAUUUUAGAAAAUUCUUCCAUUCCAUUGUUUGGGAGGUUUAAUGAAAGGAAUGAAAAGUCCAUUCCUUUGUUUGAUACUUUUAAGUGCGAGAGAAUGAAAUAGGUAAGAGAGAAUACUUAUUCCUCUUUAAAAUUUCAAAUUUUCAUUAUCCCUGAAAUUGGUAGGAUCUGGAGAGAGUGGAAUUAGGUUUAAUGAAUUUUUUACUAAAACUCCCAAAAUACGCCUAUAUAUUCAAUCAUUUAUUUUAAAGUAGGGGUUUAAUAGUAAUAUCAUCAUAAAAUAAUUCCAUUCAUUUUCCUCUAUGUUACUCCCAAAAAAUUUACUUAAAUUCCAUUCAUUUUCAUUCCUUUAUUUUAAAACAUCCAAACAAGGUUUAAAACCCGUGCUGUGUAUCCAAGAGUUAGGCCUUUUUUGAUAUCUACCACUGUAAGUUUCUUUAAAAAACCUUCUUCCCUUUUCUUGUGUGUGUAUGUGUUAAAAAUACUUAGUAUUCUAAAAAAAAAUUCUUUCCAUUCCUUUCCCUUAUGACUAUUCCAUUCCAUUAGAUUAGCUUAUGAACUCCCAAAUGAAACCUAAGUAGAGACAAAACUAAAUGAUAAUUCGGGAAAAAUACAUUUCUAACAUCCAUUAAAACAUUGCCUACAAAAUGAGAAUACUCUCUAUUCACAUAUUUGAUAUGCUCCAACUAUCUAUAUUCCUUCAUCACUAAACUCACGUUUUUUUAAAUUAUUUAUUUGUUUACUUUUUUUAAAACCUUUAUUAAGUCUUAAGUUCUUAACCGUUUCUUCUUCUAUUUUUUAUUUUUAUUUUUUUAAUUUGUGGUUUCCUUACUCUCACGUUUUAAUUUUUUUAUGUUUUGUUUUUUCUUUCAAUUCUCUUAUUCUUUAUUUUGAAUUAAAAAAAAAAAAAAAACACUCCCGCUAUAACUUCUCAUCCAUAAAUUUCAUUACUACCAUAUAUAUCUUUAUUUUUUUCUGAACUGUAACCUCGCCAAAAUAAAAUAUAAAUAAAUUUCUUUUCCCCUCUCUGUUUCACUUUGAGGCAUAAGUAGAAGUAGUCUUCUUAACAUCCAAUCUUUUUUAUAAUUACUUCAUCACAUGUUUAUAUGUAUGUCUUUAUUUUACACAAGUAUAUAGUUUUGAAUGAUUUUCCUGAACUCUUUUUAGCUGUUCAAACUUUUAUACUCUUUUACUUUUAUUGUGUGACAAACAUCUAGUUAGCUUAUUUUCCAAAAAUUCUAGUUAGACAUCUUGACAAAAAAAAAAGAAAAAGAAAAAAUCUUAUAUAUAUUGGUUUGAGUAGAGUAACUGUAGCAUGAAAACAUUGAAAAGUGCAAUUUGAAGGGCAUAUGGGUCAUUCGCGGAGAAACGGAUAGGAAUAGGAUAGACCUGCUGCUUCCCAGCGUAAAGAAGAGAAGAGUGAGACACAAAAAGAAGCAGAGCUGUGAGCUCUGAGACAAGAGAGUGCAAAUUGCAACAAUGGCUUCUGUGACACUUUCCUUAUGCUCAUCUCUCGCAACCCAUUGCAGAAUCUCUCCAAAGCAAAACCCAUCAACACCAACACUCUCUUUCUCUAACAAUACCAAUCUCACCUUUCUCUCUCUCUCUUCCCACAACCACUCUCGCUCUUCUUCUUCUUCUUCUUCUUCUUCUUCACACACAUUCCAUUUCCUCCCCAAAUCCUCAGAAUCAGAAGCAGCUGUGCUCGAUUCCGAGACCCAAUCCCCCGAAAUCGAUUCUCCAGAGCCUGAAGCUGCUCAAAUCGUCGAAACCUCCUCAGAACAAGUCCCCAAGCGUGAGCAAGUGUUCGCUGUGGUCAUGGUGAGUAAUGGCAAAAACGCAAUGCUCUAUGCUUUCUUUUAGUGAUUUUGAGGUGACCCAUUUGAUAGUUUUAUUGUUAUUUUCUGUUUUUGGAGUAAUUUUUUUGCUUACCCAGAAGAUGUUUUGUACUGUUUUACAUAUAUGUUAGCGUAAAAAAGAUAGCUUAUGUGUGUUUUCAGAGUAAAUUUCAAUCCCCAGUGUUAUUUUCUUUCAUAACUAGUUAGUGUUUUAGUGUAAUUUUGUCCAACAAUGCUAUAGACUCACCAAAUUUCACAACUUGUUGAGGUGGUAGAUUGUAUUUAGUACAAAAUCACUUUCACUUAGUGCAACAUCACAUUUAUUGUGCACCUUUCACAACUUGCUACUUCCAACAAUUGUGAAAUUUGUUGUGUCAUUAGAAUUGUUGAAUUUUGGGGAUACGGAUGAUAUAUUGAUUAUUAUUUUUGUCUUUGGAGUGCUUUAAGUAUAUACGAAUCAUUAUGUUUAUUCUUUGAGCGUGUUUGUUAUGUUUUGGCCUUGUUUAGGUUGGAUCACAUCAAUACAUUGUUUUUCCUGGUCGGUUUAUAUAUACUCAGAGGCUCAAAGGCGCUAAUGUCAAUGAUAAGGUAUGUAUUGAAUUCCUGUGAAUUCUUGUUUAUUAUUGUUGAUUGCUUGAAAUCUUAUCAAGUUUGUUGCACUUUUCGGAAAACUUAAUAAUGUAUUAUCCUUGUCUUGUCUUUAGUUGGGUCGUUUGAUUUGAAACCAUUGAAAGUAGACAUUUGUUUCUCAACAUUUCUAAUGCUCCUUGUAUGUUGAAUGACAAACACAAUGCUACCCCUUUGUGCAAAUUAUACUUUAUCUAUUAAUUUCUUUUAGAAGCAUUUUGUAAUUUUAGUUGCUGGGCUUUCCUUGCGAUAUCAAAACUUCCUUUCUUACCAGAAAAGAGAAAAAAAAAAAAAAAAAUCUGUUAUUGGCUCAAUCCACCAAUUGAUUUAUUACCCUACCAACCCUGUGUUCUAAUAUCAAACAAUCAUAUGAUGUAUAUCCCUAAACAACAUAACUUGAAUCUAUUUAUGAAUUAUCGUUCCUAGUUUUCUUAUCUAUCAGGACAAAUGAUAUCUUGAGAACGGAAAGAUAAGAAUAUGAGUGUGUUGUUUUGCAUAGAUUUUAUUCUCUUGCAUUGCUCUUUGGAUAUAGGAGAGGAUUGUUUGACAACAAAAUAUCCGAGAAUAUUACCACUUCCAUUAGCAUUCCAACUCUCAUGAAACAUGAAAAUUCAAAAUCCCACAUCUUAGGUAGAAAUGUCAAUUCUUGCAUACUUUGUCUUUUUGAGAAUCACUAAUGUAAUACAACAACAAAAGCGAAAGCUUUUGUCCCUAAAUUCUCAACAAAGUAAUUGGGGUUGGCCACAUGUAUACUUCGUUGCCAUUUUAUCCUAUCCAACAUCAUACUCUAUCACCUCCUUAAUUAGCACAUCCUUUUUUAUUACUUCUACUAAUGUUAUCUUAGGUCUUCUUCUACCUUUUUUUUUUGUUCAUUUGACUUAAAUAAAUCACUCCUCACUGUUGCAUUGAUUGCUCUCCUUUGCACAUGAGCAAAGCAUCUCAAGCACCUCUUACUUAUUUUAUCAUCAAUAGGAGCUACCCUUAUCUUUAAACAAAUUUCUUCAUUUCAUAUCCUAUCUUUCCUUAUAUUUUUACCUAUCCAUCUUAACUCUAAUUUGAAAUACAUUUAUUUUAUGAACACGUUGCUUCUUGACAGCCCAACAUUCAAUACCAUAUAGCAUAGCUGAUCUUAUGUCUUAUAAAUUUUUCUCCUUUAACUUCAUAAAUAUAUUUUAAUAUUUCACAAUACCCUGGUGUGCUACUCCAUUUCAUACAUUUUGAUCUUAUACCGUGAUUCACAUUCUCUUCUAUCUCCCAUUCUUUACAAAUUAUUGCACUCAAGAUAUUGAAAGCUCUCACUUGUUGGAAUAUCUUGACCAUCAAGUUUUACAAUCCCUUCACCUUUGUUUCUAAUUUUUCUUUUCCAUCUUCUAAUACAAAUAUCCUAUGUUGAGUGCUUAUUCUCUCUCCUAGCAUCACUUUGCUAUUGCUACCCUCCUUUUUUGGGCUUGGGACUGGCAAUGAGCAAAAGGACAUUAAGCAUUGACAUAGGGGAGUUUAAUUACUUAUGUGAUACUUAAAUUUGAAUUUUCACUGUUAAGACUUAAGAGUAACUACAUUGAAUUAAUUUUAUAAACAAGAGUUUAUAUCUCACCCAAAAGUAUUAUUAUCAAUGUUUAAGGAAGUUUUAAAAUACUAUCCAUAAUGGUAAAAACUGUUAGUUCUGUUGCUAUGAAAUGGGUAUGUAUAAGUAUAUAAAACUAUUUAAAACAAAUCAAAGUUUAUGUUUCGAAAUAUAGUGUUGUCUAAGAUGUGGUAUAAAUUCAUAUUCUAAGCACAUCUAAACGAUAACAAUGUAAUUAAUUCUCAUGAGUUUAAACUUUCAAAAUCAGUAACCCUUUAAAGUCGAAAAUUUUCAAUAGCAGGAUAGACCCUUAUUGACUCUUCAAUGCAGGAACAUAUGAUAGUGACAGUGACUCCUUGUCUCAUAACAAAAGAAAAGAAAAAAGAAAAAUGGAUUCUUUUAAGAGCAACAGAUUUGGACUCACCUGAAUUACCUUCUUUCAAAGAGCCCUUAAGAAUCUAAAAAUUUGGCCUGGAGAAGAUGAGAGGAAUUUACACCCUUAUUACACUCUCAGCACUAUGGGCAUCCUCUAGGAAAGAAGAACACCACCUUCAUGCUGGUCUUGCUUUAGUACUCUGAUGCUUUCUGCAUGUGUAUUAAUGACAAACCAAAGUGAUGAAAUAGACAAACUUCUUGCAUCAAACCUAGAGCAAAGAGAUAGCUCGUGGACAUGUCUUCUAUGCUGUUUAAAAGAUAGCCUAUGAUCUGUAGAGAAACUUUUUAUGAAUCACUUGUGAUUUUUUGGCUUGUUCACAAUGACUAUGAUCUGUAGAGAAACUUUAUUUUGUUUUAAUAUAUUUACACUUUUUAUAAACAGUAGAAAUUUUAAAUCAUCGUGCUUAUGUUGCUGUGAUUCCUUCUACACAUGUUCAUAACUUGACAUUUUUGUUAAAUGUCAUCAUGGCAUUCCAGAGUUAAAGGUAUCUCCUUAUCUUAGCAUAUAUGAAUAUGAAACUAGUAGAUCACAGAGUAGAGAUAUGCCUUUGUGUCCCUAUUUUACUUUAAGAAGCUCUCAUUCACACCCCAAAAAAGGUCAAAAUGAAAGUGAAGAGCUCUUAUGUUUCCUGCACAACUAUUCUCCUAUUUUAUAUUAAAAAGGGGCUAGUUGUAAUUGUUUUGAAAAGGGUUAUUAGUAGUAUAUGAAAAGUAUGGCUCUCUAAUCCAUUCUAAUGCAUGGUGAAUUUGAACAUUAAUGCUUUUCUUCUUCUCUUGGUAUGAUUGUGUCAAAUAUCUUCCCAUAAUAACAUCCCAAAAUUGGCGUGGUUACAAUUUUUCCCUUUUCAAACAUAAAAUUCUUUUGAGAAUUACAGAUUGUUAUAAUUUAGAAAUGCUUUACUGUUAUGAAUGCAUGGAUGCUCUGUGUGACCGCUUCGGUACUUAAACGCAUUAGGUUUUUAAGUUUUGCCAGGGCUGCUGGGCAUUAUAAUAAUUAUUUUCAGCAUUUCAAUGUAGUGAGCAAGUCCUGUUGCUGAAACAUAAAUAUAUCUGAAUUUAGUCCAAGUGUAAAACAAGAUGGUCUGUCUAGCCGCCUUAAUGAGAGUAUUCUUUAAUUUCAAUAGUUUUAGCUAUGAAAUAUUUUAUUUUUAUACUUAUCAAAAAAUUUAUUUUUUAUUUUUAUGGAAGCUAUGAAUUUUUUAUUACUUUUUCUUUGUGACUCAAUUAACUUGUUUGAAUUUUCAUUCUUGUGCAGAUUAUCCUAAACAAGGUGUUGCUCGUUGGAACCCGAAACAGUACCUACAUUGGAAAACCAGUGGUGACUAAUGCUGCUGUACAUGCUGUAGUUGAAGAGCAGGUAGUUCAUUAUCUCCCAAUGCAUAUAAUUAAGUGACCAAAAUAGUUAGAUACAUAUCAUGUGUAUCAGGAAUGUAAGGCCUGAUUAUUGUUGUCGUCUUCCUCCAUGACCUUUACAUCUUUAAUGCAGGGUUUAAAUCCCAAAGUAAUUGUCUUCAAGUAUAAGAAGAAGAAAAACUAUCGGAGAAAUAUUGGUCAUCGACAGGUAUUGUAUGAAGUUUACUAGUAUCAUUGAUGGUGAAGUAGCCACUGUUAAUGGUUUUUUGCAUAAAAUGUAACUCUGGUUAAUGCGUAAAGCAACUGUUAUCGCUUUAAAAAAAAGGGUAAACUAUGUAUUUGGUCUUUAUCUUUUAUAUUAUAUUUCAAUUUGGUCUAUAAUCUUUUAAUUGUGUCAAUUUGGCCCCUAACUUUUCAGUGCUGUAUCAAUUUAGCCCUUGUCGUUAUCUUUUGGAUUAAAAUUGCCAAUAUGACUAAUGGCCAAAAAAAAAUAUUAAUUUAUUGUCAUAUCAACAGAAACUAAUUUUUUAUUUUGGCUAUUAACCACGUCAUCAAUUUACAUCUAAGAGAUAAUGAUAGGGACUAAAUUGACAUGACACUGAAAAUGUUAGGGACCAAAUUAACACGAUUGAAAGGUUAGGGAUCAAAUUGAAAUAUGGUAUAAAUGAUAAGAAAUAAAUACGUAUUUUACCCAAAUAAAAAAUUGGCACUAAAACAAGGACUCAAGGAGUGCAAGAAGGUUACCAUAUCAUAUAUGCAUUAUGCACUUGGCAUUAGAGGUGUUGCUCUCUUCCAACAUAUCUCCACUGUUAUCUUUCACUUGUUUGCAACCAAAAAAAUGAACACCAUAAUUUCAUUUUAAGCUCACAGCUGUGUUGCGGGAGUAACUGUCCAGCCCCAUGCCAUGGGGGUUUUAUGACAGAAUUGAACCCAACUGCUCCUUGGUGGUUGUAAAUUACCACCAGGUAGAGACCUGUGGUCAAGCUUGAGACUUGAGUCGUGUUGCCUGCUAGAAAAAUCUCCUUGAUGGGUGAACCUCCCAUUUUGCUAUUUCCAUCCUAGCUACAAUCCACAAACACAGCAAUAGUUCAACUCAUAUGAUUUAUCUAUAUAUAAUUUAGCUAUGUACUUUCAUAAAAUAUCUUUAAUUUAAUUUAAACUCAUUCUUCUGUCUGCUAAUCUUGUUUAGAAUGAUUUGAAUGUUACUCACUUUUGCAGCCAAAUACAAGGAUACGGAUAACCGGUAUCACUGGCUAUGAGGACUAUCCAGCUGUCACGCUUGAGUCAUAG